GAGAGCGAAGCAGGCAGUUGUUGCGCUGCGGACUAAACUGCCAAGUAUUUUUGCGAACAGUGCUCGGAUGACCUGUGGAGCCGGAACAUUCAUGCUGAUAUUGUUAUCUUUACUUUCCUAUUUUAAUGUUAUUACAGGAAUACCAAAGGGAUGCCUCAUAAGCCCCGUACAAAAGCUUUUGGCCUUCCUAUGCCACGUUGGUACUACGACUCCGAUGGCAAAGCAUGCAAGCCAAUUAUGUGGGGUGGAGGUGGAUACAAUGGAAACAUCUUUAAAACUUCUGAAGAAUGCCAGAAAACAUGCGGCCGUUCGUAUCGACAGGAUGCCGACGUCUGCCUACUGGUGCCUCCUUUAACCAAGUGCAAGCACCCUGGGCCUUCUCUUGUAAUGUGGACUUACAACAGUACAACAAUGACCUGUGUUAAUGUUAAAUACUAUGGUUGCCAUGGAAAUAAAAACCUCCACAAGACCUGUAAAGCGUGCCGCCACAAGUGCAUACAUCACUCGACUGUUUUGCAGUUCUGCCCGGAGAAUCCACCAAGAAGAAAACUUGUAUUUCAGGGCCCCCAUGACUCUUUUGUUCCGCAGAAGAAACCAAAACUUUAAUGGGGAUGACAAAAAUGGAAUAACUCCAUAGAAAACUCAUCUCUUAAAGAAAAAGAGAAAUGGGUCUGCCAUAUCGUCAAUGUGAGCGAAUAGCCGCUCACAUUUGGCACCAGUCCAGUAGCGUAAUGGAAGAUUUCUUGGAAAACACAGUGCAUUAGUGCUCUUCCAAGUUUUUUUUAGGUGAAACUGCACUUGGGGUAAAUAUUAACACCUAAUAAAGUAUUUUUAAAUGCUUGAA